rnacentral:snoRNA from 1 species
AUCCUUUUGUAGUUCAUAAGCGUGAUGACUGGGCGUUCGCACCGCAGUGUGACAUGUGCUUCCCUCAAAGCUUGUUACAGCCUCGACACAUUACCCAUCUGACA